rnacentral:rRNA from 1 species
CCUACGGGGGGCUGCAGUCGAGAAUCAUUCACAAUGGGGGAAACCCUGAUGGUGCGACGCCGCGUGGGGGAAUGAAGGUCUUCGGAUUGUAAACCCCUGUCAUGUGGGAGCAAAUUAAAAAGAUAGUACCACAAGAGGAAGAGACGGCUAACUCUGUGCCAGCAGCCGCGGUAAUACAGAGGUCUCAAGCGUUGUUCGGAAUCACUGGGCGUAAAGCGUGCGUAGGCUGUUUCGUAAGUCGUGUGUGAAAGGCGCGGGCUCAACCCGCGGACGGCACAUGAUACUGCGAGACUAGAGUACUGGAGGGGGAAGCGGAAUUCGCGGUGUAGCAGUGAAAUGCGUAGAUAUCGAGAGGAACACUCGUGGCGAAGGCGGGUUCCUGGACAUUAACUGACGCUGAGGCACGAAGGCCAGGGGAGCGAAAGGGAUUAGAUACCCGGGUAGUC